rnacentral:rRNA from 1 species
GCAGUCGACGCGAACGGGUUCUUCGGAACCCAAGUAGAGUGGCGCACGGGUGAGUAACGCGUAAGUAACCUGCCCCCGCAUCCGGGAUAACCCACCGAAAGGUGUGCUAAUACCGGAUACGUCUGGAAUGAUGCUUUGAUACCAGAGAAAGGUGGCUUCAUUUGGAGCUACUGUGCGGGGAUGGGCUUGCGUACCAUUAGCUAGUCGGUAGGGUAACGGCCUACCGAGGCGACGAUGGUUAGCGGGUCUGAGAGGAUGAUCCGCCACACUGGAACUGGAACACGGACCAGACUCCUACGGGAGGCAGCAGUGAGGAAUAUUGCGCAAUGGGGGCAACCCUGACGCAGCGACGCCGCGUGGAUGAUGAAGGCCUUCGGGUUGUAAAAUCCUGUCAGAUGGGAAGAAGUGACAUAUGCCGAAUACGUGUAUGUUUUGACGGUACCAUCAAAGGAAGCACCGGCUAACUCCGUGCCAGCAGCCGCGGUAAUACGGAGGGUGCGAGCGUUGUUCGGAAUUACUGGGCGUAAAGCGCGCGUAAGCGGCUGUAUAAGUCAGAUGUGAAAGCC